AGGUUGUACUCCGUCAGAGCGUAGAGUCAUGCCCGUUGCGCCCCAGUACUACCACGCGCAUGCGGUGGAUGCCACCAUUCAGCACGAGAAGGCGUACCAGCGCCAGACGGCGGUGAAUGAGAACAUGCACCGCCCAAGCCGCAAGCACGUCAACAAGUCCGGCCACAUCCGCUAUUCCAAGAAGAUCGGUCUGGGCUUCAAGACCCCGGCGAAGGCGCUGAACGGCAAGUACAUCGAUCGCAAGUGCCCCUUCACGAGCAACGUCGUGAUCCGCGGCCGCAUCCUGCGCGGCGUUGUGCACUCCACCAAGAUGCACCGCACCAUCAUCAUCCGCCGCAACUACCUGCACUUCAUCAAGAAGUACCAGCGUUACCAGAAGCGCCACAAGUCCCUGGCCGUACACUGCAGCCCCGCCUUCGACCCGAAGCAAGGUGAUGAGGUCGUCAUUGGCCAGUGCCGCCCGCUGAGCAAGACGAUCCGCUACAACGUCUUGGAGGUGGUGUCGAAGAGCUCUGCCGACAAGAUGGGCAAGAAGUUCGCCAAGAACUAAGUAAAAGGUGCGCUGCUGCUUUUUCUGUUCAUGUCAUGGCAAUCAUGAUGGCGUGUUUUGAUUACUGGUUUCUGUGUAGCGAGUCUUUGAUCCUCUCGGUGCAGCUUUAAAGCUGUGGUAAGCGGAUAAGGUGACAAGCGAAUGGCUCCUCAGGGAGGCGCGCGUGCCCAGCACACGCACGAUUACACACGCGUGUGCGCUUCAUGGCUGCCGCUACCGCAGCCGCGGUUUUCUCUGCGACGGUCUACUUCACCCUCAGUAGUGUUCAUUUCUUAGCUUCUUUAAUGCUUUCGCCUCGUUCUUUG
rnacentral:misc_RNA from 1 species